rnacentral:rRNA from 1 species
GACGUAGGGCGCGAGCGUUGUCCGGAUUUAUUGGGCGUAAAGAGCUCGUAGGCGGCUUGUCGCGUCGACUGUGAAAACCCGCGGCUUAACUGCGGGACUGCAGUCGAUACGGGCAGGCUAGAGUUCGGUAGGGGAGACUGGAAUUCCUGGUGUAGCGGUGAAAUGCGUAGAUAUGCGGAGGAACACCGAUGGCGAAGGCAGCCCCCUGGGCUAACACUGACGCUCAGGCACGAAAGCGUGGGGAACAAACAGG